rnacentral:rRNA from 1 species
AACGAACGCUGGCGGCGUGCCUAACACAUGCAAGUCGUGCGAGAAAGUUCCUUCGGGAGCGAGUAAAGCGGCGCACGGGUGAGUAACACGUAGGUAACCUGCCCCCCAGUCUGGAACAACUAGAGGAAACUCUAGCUAAUGCCGGAUGAGACCACGAUCCCUUCGGGGGUUGCGGCCAAAGAUGGCCUCUACUUGUAAGCUAUCGCUGAGGGAUGGGCCUGCGGGCCAUUAGCUUGUUGGUGAGGUAACGGCUCACCAAGGCUGUGAUGGCUAGCUGGUCUGAGAGGAUGACCAGCCACACUGGGACUGAGACACGGCCCAGACUCCUACGGGAGGCAGCAGUGGGAAUAUUGCGCAAUGGGCGAAAGCCUGACGCAGCGACGCCGCGUGGGUGAUGAAGGCCUCGGUCGUAAG